rnacentral:rRNA from 1 species
AAUGAACGCUGGCGGCGUGGAUUAGGCAUGCAAGUCGAACGCGAAAGUACCCCUUCGGGGGUGCGAGUAGAGUGGCGAACGGGUGAGUAAUGCUUGGAUGGCCUGCCCUCAAGUCGGGGACAACAGUUCGAAAGGACUGCUAAUACCCGAUAGUCUGUCCCGGUUGCGGCCGGGCCAGUAAAGGUGAUUCCGCUCGUGGAGGGGUCCAAGCCCUAUCAGCUUGUUGGUGAGGUAACGGCUCACCAAGGCUAUGACGGGUAGCCGGACUGAGAGGUUGGCCGGCCACAUGGGAACUGAGACACUGUCCUGACUCCUAUGGGAGGCUGCAGUCGAGAAUCUUUUGCAAUGGGGGAAACCCUGACAAUGCGACGCCGCGUGGAGGAUGAAGGCCCUCGGGUCGUAAACUCCUGUCACAUGUUACGAAAGGCACAGGUUCACCUGUGCUCUGACGAAGGCAUGAGAGGAAGUCACGGCUAACUUCGUGCCAGCAGCCGCGGUAAGACGAAGGUGGCUAGCGUUAUUCGGAUUUACUGGGCAUAAAGCGCGCGUAGGCGGCCUGGUCAGUCGGAGGUGAAAGCCCGCAGCUUAACUGCGGAACUGCCCCCGAUACUG